CCUACGGGAGGCAGCAGUGGGGGAUAUUGGACAAUGGGGGGAACCCUGAUCCAGCGACGCCGCGUGAGUGAAGAAGUAUUUCGGUAUGUCAAGCUCUGUCAGCAGGGAAGAAAGCAAUGACGGUACCUGACCAAGAAGCCCCGGCUAACUACGUGCCAGCAGCCGCGGUAAUACGUAGGGGGCAAGCGUUAACCGGAAUUACGGGGUGUAAGGGGAGCGUAGACGGGUGUGCAAGUCUGGAGUGAAAGGCGGGGGCCCAACCCCCGGACUGCUCUGGAAACUGUAUGGCUGGAGUGCAGGAGAGGUAAGCGGAAUUCCUAGUGUAGCGGUGAAAUGCGUAGAUAUUAGGAGGAACACCAGUGGCGAAGGCGGCUUACUGGACUGUAACUGACGUUGAGGCUCGAAAGCGUGGGGAGCAAACAGGAUUAGAUACCCUAGUAGUC
rnacentral:rRNA from 1 species